UUUACUCUAUUUGUUGUUAUAUUACUUUUUUUUUGUUCUUUUUUAUGUUUUUUUUUGUAAAAUGUUUUGAUUUUUUUGUAUUUUUUUGUAAUAUUUAAAAUUUGUUUUUUGAACUGGAUUAGUACCCAGGUAAUCAAAGUUUAUUAAUUCGGGAGUAAAGUUUUGUUUAAACCGAAAAAAUAUUGACUGACUUUAGAUUUUUCUUUGGAAUAUGUGUUUUUGGAGAGCCCUCUUUUUUGGUGAAUUUUAUUGGCACAUGUAUGAUUGUUUAGUUUUUAUGUUAUUUGUGUUGCUUU
rnacentral:rRNA from 1 species